rnacentral:rRNA from 1 species
UUGGAGGGCAAGUCUGGUGCCAGCAGCCGCGGUAAUUCCAGCUCCAAUAGCGUAUAUUAAAGUUGUUGUAGUUAAAAAGCUCGUAGUUGAAUUUCGGGAUUAGUGCGCCGGUCGUGCCUUCGGUAUGUACUGGUGUUACUGGCUCCUACCUUCUGACGAACCGUCAUGUCAUUAAUUUGGUGUGGCGGGGAAUCAGGACUGCUACUUUGAAAAAAUUAGAGUGUUUAAAGCAGGCUCGCGCUUGAAUACAUUAGCAUGGAAUAAUGAAAUAGGACGUUCGAUCCUAUUUUGUUGGUUUCUAGGAUUGACGUAAUGAUUAAUAGGGAUAGCUGGGGGCAUUAGUAUUCAAUUGUCAGAGGUGAAAUUCUUGGAUUUAUUGAAGACUAACUACUGCGAAAGCAUUUGCCAAGGAUGUUUUCAUUAAUCAAGAACGAAAGUUAGGGGAUCGAAGACGAUCAGAUACCGUCGUAGUCUUAACCAUAAACUAUGCCGACUAGGGAUCGGAUGAUGUUAUUUUUAAUGACUCAUUCGGCGCCUUACGGGAAAC